UACGAAGGGAGCUAGCGUUGUUCGGAAUCACUGGGCGUAAAGGGCGCGUAGGCGGCUUGACAAGUCACUUGUGAAAUCUCUGGGCUUAACCCAGAACGGCCAAGUGAAACUGUCGAGCUAGAGUGUAGAAGGGGCAAUCGGAAUUCUUGGUGUAGCGGUGAAAUGCGUAGAUAUCAAGAGGAACACCUGAGGUGAAGACGGGUUGCUGGUCUAACACGUGACGCUGAGGCGCGAAAGCGUGGGGAGCAAACAGG
rnacentral:rRNA from 1 species